GGAGUGGCCCGGGUGAACGCCGGCUGCCGCAGCACGGGGCAGCGGGAGGAAAGUCCGAGCUCCACAGGGCAGGGUGCUGGCUAACGGCCAGUCGGCGCGAGUCGAAGGACAGUGCCACAGAAAAAAGACCGCCACGGGACGCCGGCGACGGCGCCACGAGGCAAGGGUGAAACGGUGCGGUAAGAGCGCACCGCGGUCAGGGCGACCUGACCGGCACGGCAAACCCCACCCGGAGCAAGAGCCAGCAGGGAGCGUUCCGUCCCCCCCGGGGCGGAACAGGGGCUGCCCGCCCCCCGUCUCCCGGGUCGCUCGCUGACGAGGCUUCUGGGCAACCAGGGCCCUAGAGGAAUGUUCGCCGCCCGCGCGGGGGAGACUCCGCACGGGAACAGAACUCGGCUUACAGGGCCACUCCGGCU
rnacentral:RNase_P_RNA from 1 species